CGGGUGAGUAACACGUGGUCAACCUUCCCGAUAGUGGGGGAUAACUAGCCGAAAGGUUAGCUAAUACCGCAUACGACCUAUGAGCGGCAUCGCUUAUAGAUGAAAGGAGCAAUCCGCUUUCGGACGGGACCGCGUCCCAUUAGCUAGUUGGCGGGGUAAUGGCCCACCAAGGCAACGAUGGGUAGCUGGUCUGAGAGGACGACCAGCCACACUGGGACUGAGACACGGCCCAG
rnacentral:rRNA from 1 species